GACCACAGGGUCAUUCAAAAGAAAAGAACCUAGUUCCCUUUUUAAGUGAUUGUUUAGAGAGAAGUUAUCUCUAAACUGUGAUGGAUUUCUUCAGCAUGAAAAGCAUGAAGGCAGCUUACCUUGGUCUCAUAACAUUUCUGUUAGGUUGUAUUGGAAUCAAGUAUGGAAUCUCCAAUACCAAUCCUUUCCAUGAUUCAACCCUUUCUCUUCUCGUCACUGCUGUUAUUUCCCAUCUUAUUGCAACAGCAGCUGACAUGAGUCACCCAAACACUGUCAUAACAUUUUAUUUGUCAGGGAUAGUUGCAUGUGAAACACUGCUGUGGAUUCUCAUUGCUCAACUUUCCUGGUUCUCUCUAGUUAACUUCCUUGUUUUACUAAUACUCAAAUUCUUGUUCUCUCACUUCCUCACUCAGCUGCUCCUUCCCUAUUUCAACUGCAUCACUCAGUUGCUCUUCGGAACACCUCCAAAUGCUUCUGACAUGCCAAAUACAGAACAGCAACCGCAGGACUCCCAGGUAUAAGGGCACACCAACUAGUUUUACCCCUCUUGGAUUGUCAAAUAUGUUUUGUCCCUUUGUUUUGGCCUCAAGUGUUCUACAUCACCCUAUCAUCAAUAGGUCUUGUCUGGUUUCAUGGAAUUCUUUGAAGGACAAAGAAGGAAUGAUACCAUUGCCACCUCUGAUUAUCAGUCAUGCACUCUCUCUGGCUUAACAGUCGCUUCUCUUUGUCCUUGGGGACUGCAAGGAAUCGCACGAUAUCUAUUCUUUCAGUAAUGACAUGGAGGACUCUUGCCUUUUCUCCCAAUAUCCUUUCACUGCAUUUUUCUUUUCUUCUUUAUUUCUGUUUCCUCUAUGUUUUUUACUUUGUACUUUAAUGCUUGUUUGCUUCUCUUGGCAACUUAAAAUGGAUUACAUUAGUAGUUAAUUUUGUCAUUCACAUUUUCAAUCAACAAUUUGUUUUUUAAUGAACAUGACGCAGUAUGGCUUCUCACGAGAAAUGAAGAGAGUAUAGUUUUUCAAGUCUUUGGCUCAUACUCAAAAUUCUUUAUAAUUUCAGGUAUUGAGGCACACCAACUUCUAGUUUUACACCUGUUGGAUUGUCAAAUACGAUUUGUCCUUUGUUUUGGCCUCAACUGUUCUACAUCACCCUAGGUCUUGUCUGGUUUCAUGGAAUUGUUUGAAUGACAAAGAAGGAAUGAUACCAUUGCCGCCUCUGCUUAUCAGUCAUGCAUCCAUGUUGCUCUCUGCAGCUUAACACUUCUCUUCGUCCUUGGAGAUUGCAAGGAAUCACAUGACAUCUAUACUUUCAGUAAUGACACGGAGGACUCUUGCCAUUUCUCCCAGUAUCCUUUCACUGCAUUUUUCUUUUCUUCUUUAUUUCUGUUUGCUCCAUGUUUUUUCCUUUGUACUUUAAUGCUUGUUUGCUUCUCUGGCAACUUAAAAUGGAUUACAUUACUAGUUAAUUUUGCAACUCCAUUUACAUAACUCUGUUCUGUUAGUUGAAUAAGGAAUUUUUGAAAGAGAAUUUCAGUAUUAUCCGAUUCCAUUUUACUUAACUCUGUUGUGUUACCUGAACACACCCUUUCUUACCUCUUGUUUCUCUUUUCUUCUAUACCUAACUGCACUCGCAGCUUACCAAAUGGAAAACUCCUUCCAUUGAAGUCAAGUGAGAGAAAUCCUUCUUGUGCAUCAUAUUGUCCCUUCUAUUUAACUAAUCGCUAACUACUGUCAAUCUUCUUUUUCUGGAUCAUCACUACUUUUUUGUAUACACCUCACGUUUCUGCAGAAGAUGCAGAAACUAAUCAUGACAUGGGUUGGAAUGCUGGUCCUACAUAGGAACAUAAAAAAAGCAGCUGCUCCCUCCCUACUUCAACCGCAUCACUCAGUUGCUCCUUGGAACACCUCCAAAUGGUUCUGAGAUGCCAAAUACAGAACCGCAACCUUAGGACUCCCAGGUAUCAUCUCAGAUAUAGUCUGGUUCAUCAAUAUGUAGCUUUUUAGUGUGUUUCUGGUUUUAUGCUUAUAUGCUCAUAUUAUGUAGUCUUAGUUUUCUCUAUUUUUCCUGAUCAUUACGGGGUAGAUUAAUCCCCAAAUCAUCGAGUUAUUAUCUGCAAAAUAGACCAGCCUAUUUUACUUUUAAUCUGAUUCUUUAUACAAGUUGGAUUAAUUCUGAUAACAGGGUACUGUUCAUGGACCACGUGAUAUUUGAGGUUCUUGAUUAAUCCCCAAUUUAUUAUGGGUUCAACAAGUUUGAAUUUUUUUUUUUGGCUUUAUGCUUAUUCCCAUAUUUUAUAUGCUUUAUUUUCUCUCUUUGUGCUAUAAUACUUUCCUUUCAUGUUAGUUGGAGUCGGAUUUAAGUUCCUAAUAAUUACUGCUUACAUUAAUCCCCAAACCAUCGGGUUAUUAUCGGUAAAAUAUACCAAGCUAUUUUAUUUUUACUUUGAUUUUCUGUACAAGUUGGAGUAAUUAACACAAUACUGUUCAUGGACCACCUGGGAUAGGUAAUUCACAAUUGUACUGUACAAGUUCUGUGUAACUCAUUGGUUGAUCAAAAUGUUGAAAAAUAUUCAAUUCAGAAAAGCCUAACUCCACUGCAAACAUGCUUUAAGCAGAUAUAUUGGGUAAAACUUUCUAAAUAGGGCAAUACUUACAGAUGAAUCCCAAUAGCAGAAAAAAGAAAACUUCCCCAUAAGAGUGCUCUUGCCGAUGUUGAUGGACUUAAGACUAGUUGCUGGAUCUUGCUGUAUAGAAAACCAAAAUAACUUAACUGAAUUGAAAAUCCUAAAUCCUAAACUGAAAACAAUGAAAGACCAAGUUAUAGCCGUUUUGUUUUGUCUGCCGUACACCACUUUCUGCAUUAAACCAAGUGCAAACCUCAGUCCUAAACUUCAGGGUCACACCUGCUUUUUUGUUUUAAAAUAAAGUGUUCUAAAUACCCUACUGUAUAUCGCUGUUUGAGAUUUAUAUAUGAACAUCUAAGUCUAGUCCUAAACGAUGCAAAUGUAUUUCUAUCUAUAGCCUCGAUUAUAAGGUAUGAACUCCUUUCAAGAUCUGCAAUGAACUGAACUAACUUAUUCUUCUCCUUCUUGGUUCCAUGCAUAUGACGAUUAUAUUUUUAAGGGAUUUAAGAGAUAACACUGUUUUAUUUAUUUUUAUCCCCACUCUGAAAUAGCUUCAUUGCAAUCUUGUCCCAAUGUAUUCGCGUUUUUCCUAGAAAGUUUGUAAAGGUGUUGGUACUGAGAUAUUUUGGGGAUUGAGUUGCGCCAUUACUUUUUUGUUUCUGUUUAUCACAUCUACUAUCAUCAUUUUGCUUCAGCUUGAAUAAAACAUCCUACAUAUGUUUUUGAAUUCAAUGCUGCUUAGUUCUAGUCUAAGAAAUGCUUUUAGUAGAUAGUAUUGGAGAAAACCAUUGUAUAGGUCAAUAUUUACUAUGGAACUCCUAAAGUGAAAUCAUACACUUCUCCAUAACAGGACUCUUUUUGUUUGUCAAUCAUGAUGUUGUGGUUGAGGGCUAUAGAAUGGUACUAUCAAUGGUAGGAUAACUGAAACAAGAAAAAAUGAUAAAACAUCUGGAACAUUGGCUGGGAUUUAUUUAAAUUGUUGGCCGUAGUGCAUGAGUUGUGAUAAACUCCUUGACAUGUGAUCAAUUUCUACCGAAGAAAAAACCUGCUACAUUAGAAAAGUGCUAAACUGAACAAAGCAUAUGAUUCUACAAACUUGAAAACAUUUAGAAAAACCCCAAAACCCAGUCCUAAACAACUUCUUUUGCUGUCAAAAUGUCGUCAGAUUUCCCACAAUAUAUGAAUGCAACAUAUGAGGUUUAUCUGUAAAAUCCCUUUUUAGUCCGAAGAAAUUCAAAUGUAGUUUUUGUUUAGAUGUGGAUGUCAUUAUAANUUCUAACAAGUUUGGAGUUGUUGUGAAUGAGACAGCACCAUAUUUUUCUCUUUAUUAGAUUGCAUGAAACUUAACUUUUAUGUGUUCAGUCCCUUCAUACCAGAAAGGAGUGUACUGAAGGCAAUAGAUUUAUCAUCAUGCCACAAUAAUAGCUUCAUAGAUAUGGUCAAAAUUUAGUUGGUGUUUCGGAUAUGGGAUCCAAGAUCAGAGACACUCCAAGUUGUUCCUUCUGUGUGCUUCCAAAGAUCUUUCACGCUAUCACACCGAUCGGUUGCGAUCUGCAAGUUAGUAUUGGGAUGCAAACAAAGUCCCACAUCGAGUAAAAGAAGGGCUGGUCAAGGGUUUAAAUACACAUAGAUACCUCCAAUGAUAAGAGACCUUUUGGAGUGGUACCAAAAGCAAAUCCGUGAAGGCUUGGCCCAAAGCGGACAAUAUCUUACCAUGUGUGGAGAUCUAUGUGUGUGGAUCGCCCAUCACUCUUUCCAAUCAGUCUGUUGGAUACAAACAAAGUCCCACAUCAGAAAAAUUAAAAGAUGAAUAUAAGUUCUUUCCCUUUAGGGGAGGUGGUCCUUUGUUUGAGGGGAGGAUGUUGGGUACAAACAAAGUCCCUACACAUAAGAUACCUUCAUUAAUGAGAAGCCUUUUGGAGUGGUACUAAAAGCAAAUCCGUGACCCAUCCCUACACAGUGACCCCUUAUAUUACAGUUGGUUCUUUUUUUUUUUCAAAUAUCAUGAUUUGCUACCAAGACAAUUUCUAUUCCAACCGAUACUUGAAUUAAGAGUCCCCGCUUGUUUUUGUCAUUCAUAUUUUCUAUGAACAAUUUGUUUUUGAAUGAACGUGAUGCAGUAUGACUUAUCACGAGAAAUGUAGGGAGUAUAGUUUUUCAAGUCUUUGGCUCAUACUCAACCGUAUAAUUUCAGGUCUUGUCUGGUGUGAUGGAAUUGUUUGAAUGACAAAGAAGGAAUGAUAUCAUUGCCCCCUCUGCUUAUCAGUCAUGCAUCCAUGUUGCUCUCUGCAGCUUAACACUUCUCUUCGUCCUCGUAGAUUGCAAGGAAUCGCUUGACAUCUAUUGUUUCACCAGAGUAAGGAGAAGGCACAAUGUGGUAAGCUUGGUGACAAGAGCAAAAAUAUCAAGCAAAUCUAACCCAUCAAAUUGAGUAUAUCCUUUUGCUACAAGAUGAGUUUUGAAUCACUUGAUGGAAUAUCAGAGUUAUAUUUGGUUUUGUAAAUCCUUUGACAACCAAUGAUUUUCUUGGAAGAUCAGUGAUGAUCCAAGUGCAAUUGACAGCUACAUAGUGAGUUCUUCGUUCAUGGUUUUGAUCCAUUGAGGCUCUAUGUAACUCCAUAGUUCAUUGAUAAAAGAAAAAGAAAGAACAAUAUACUUGAAGGAAGGGAACAAAGUAUCAUAAUUGAUGUAUUUGUGAAGAAGGUACUUUAUAAUAUUAUUGGUGUGAAAGAUUUGAAGGCAAUGGCAAGUUUUCUUA